rnacentral:rRNA from 1 species
GACGUAGGGGGCCAGCGUUGUUCGGAAUUACUGGGUGUAAAGGGUUCGUAGGCGGUGCGGCAAGUUGGGAGUGAAAUCUCUGGGCUUAACCCAGAGGCUGCUUCCAAAACUGCUGUGCUUGAGUGCGGGAGAGGCGCGUGGAAUUGCAGGUGUAGCGGUGAAAUGCGUAGAUAUCUGCAGGAACACCCGUGGCGAAAGCGGCGCGCUGGACCACUACUGACGCUGAGGAACGAAAGCUAGGGGAGCAAACAGG